rnacentral:rRNA from 1 species
UACGUAGGGGGCGAGCGUUGUCCGAAGUUACUGGGCGUAAAGCGCGUGUAGGCGGCUUUGCAAGUCGGGUGUGAAAGCCCUCAGCUCAACUGAGGAAGUGCGCCCGAAACUGCAGAGCUUGAGUGCCGGAGAGGGUGGCGGAAUUCCCCAAGUAGAGGUGAAAUUCGUAGAUAUGGGGAGGAACACCGGUGGCGAAGGCGGCGACCUGGGACAAUACUGACGCUGAGGUGCGAAAGCGUGGGGAGCAAACAGG